AUGCAAAUCAGCAUACGAGGCUUUCUUUAUUGGUGCGGUCAGAUUCGCCCCUUGGAAGAGAAUCCGGUGGACCUGAGCUCCUUUGCACUUAAGCUAUUUAUUUGGCUUGCCAUCAAUAAUCGGUGCUGGACAGUAGACCGCCUGGACAAAAGGGGGUUGCCGCACCCGGCUGCAUGCCCCUUGUGCGAUCAAGUUGAGGAGUCAAUUCAGCACAUCCUUGUAUCGUGCGUCUUUUCCAGGCAGGUCUGGUCUCAUAUUCUCCGAAGAUUAGGCGUAAUUGCUAUUGCUCCGCAACCCACCACUGGCCGGUUCUCAAGCUGCUGA
rnacentral:rRNA from 1 species